rnacentral:rRNA from 1 species
GCGAUAAGGCUUACGGUUACGCUUACCAGAUUAGCAUGCAUGUCUCAGUAUAAGCUUCUAUACGGCGAAACUGCGAAUGGCUCAUUAAAACAGUUAUAGUUUAUUUGGUGGUCAACAAUUACAUGGAUAACCGUGGUAAUUCUAGAGCUAAUACAUGCGCCCAAACCCAACUUUUUGGAAGGGUUGUGUUUAUUAGAUACAGAACCAACCCAGGCUCCGCCUGGCCUUGAGGUGAUUCAUAAUAACCGAGCGAAUCGCAUGGCUAUGCCGGCGAUAGACCAUUCAAGUUCCUGACCUAUCAGCUAUCGUCGGUAGGGUAUUGGCCUACCGUGGCAAUGACGGGUAACGGAAAAUUAGGGUUCGAUUCCGGAGAGGGAGCCUGAAAAAACGGCUACCACAUCUAAGGAAGGCAGCAGGCGCGCAAAUUUACCCAAUCCUGACACAGGGAGGUAGUGACCAAAAAAUAACAAUACAGGGCAUACCUGGUCUUGUAAUUUGGA